GUUGGCUACGUUCGGAAAGGAUAACCGCUGAAAGCAUCUAAGCGGGAAGCCUGCUUCGAGAUGAGGACUCCCACCUCUAUAAGAGGGUAAGGCUCCCGGUAGACGACCGGGUUGAUAGGCCGGAUAUGGAAGCCCAGUAAUGGGUGGAGUUGACCGGUACUAAUAGGCCGAGGGCUUGUCCAU
rnacentral:rRNA from 1 species